rnacentral:miRNA from 1 species
GGUCAGUAUCUGCUGUGAUACG